rnacentral:rRNA from 1 species
UACGUAGGGUGCGAGCGUUAAUCGGAAUUACUGGGCGUAAAGUGUGCGCAGGCGGUUUCGCAAGUCCAGUGUGAAAGCCCCGGGCUUAACCUGGGAACUGCGCUUGAAACUACGGAACUCGAGUGUGGCAGAGGAAGGUGGAAUUCCACGUGUAGCGGUGAAAUGCGUAGAGAUGUGGAGGAACACCGAUGGCGAAGGCAGCCUUCUGGGCCAACACUGACGCUCAUGCACGAAAGCGUGGGGAGCAAACAGG